ACAUUGGUCGCAUUUGUAUAUUUUUUCCGAUGGUGGAUUUGAACAUGGGAUUUUAGGCCACAUGCCAGGCUGAAAGUGGUCCCACAUUCAUCACAGGUGUAUGGUUGUCCUUCACUAUUGUUUUGUUGAUGAUCCUGAGGUGCCCCGAG